CCCUGCCAUUUGUACACACCGCCCGUCGCUACUACCGAUUGAAUGGCUCGGUGAGGCCUUCGGACUGGCUCAGGAGGGUUGGCAACGACCCCCCAGAGCCGGAAAGUUGGUCAAACCCGGUCAUUUAGAGGAAGUAAAAGUCGUAACAAGGUUU
rnacentral:rRNA from 1 species